UGAGCAAUCUGCCCUUCUCUUCGGAAUAAGCGUUGGAAACGACGUCUAAUGCCGAAUACGACCUCCUUUCGCAUGAUCGGAGGUGGAAAGCUCCGGCGGAGAAGGAUGAGCUCGCGGCCUAUCAGCUAGUUGGUGUGGGGUAAUGGCCCACCAAGGCGACGACGGGUAGCCGGCCUGAGAGGGUGACCGGCCACACUGGGACUGAGACACGGCCCAGACUCCUACGGGAGGNAGCG
rnacentral:rRNA from 1 species